rnacentral:rRNA from 1 species
GAAGAAACUAACAAGGAUUCCCCUAGUAACUGCGAGUGAAGAGGGAAAAGCUCAAAUUUAAAAUCUGGCUUCCUUAGGUUGUCCGAGUUGUAAUCUAGAGAAGCGUCAUCCGCGCUGGACCGUGUACAAGUCUCCUGGAACGGAGCGUCAUAGAGGGUGAGAAUCCCGUCUUCGACACGGACUACCGGGGCUUUGUGAUGCGCUCUCAAAGAGUCGAGUUGUUUGGGAAUGCAGCUCAAAAUGGGUGGUAAAUUCCAUCUAAAGCUAAAUAUUGGCGAGAGACCGAUAGCGAACAAGUACCGUGAGGGAAAGAUGAAAAGAACUUUGGAAAGAGAGUUAAACAGUACGUGAAAUUGCUGAAAGGGAAACGCUUGAAGUCAGUCGCGUUGGUCGAGAAUCAGCCUUGCUUUUGCAUGGCUUAUUUCGCGGUUCAACGGGUCAGCAUCAAUUUUGACCAUUGGAUAAAGAUGAGAGGAAUGUAGCAUCUUCGGAUGUGUUAUAGCCUCUUGUUGCAUGCAGUGGUUGGGAUUGAGGAACUCAGCACGCCGCAAGGCCGGGAGCAAUCCACGUUCGUGCUUAGGAUGCUGGCAUAAUGGCUUUAAUCGACCCGUCUUGAAACACGGACCAAGGAGUCUAACAUGCCUGCAAGUGUUUGGGUGUAAAACCCAUGCGCGCAAUGAAAGUGAAAGUUGAGAUCCCUGUCGUGGGGAGCAUCGACGCCCGGACCAGACCUUUUGUGACGGAUCCGCGGUAGAGCAUGUAUGUUGGGACCCGAAAGAUGGUGAACUAUGCCUGAAUAGGGUGAAGCCAGAGGAAACUCUGGUGGAGGCUCGUAGCGAUUCUGACGUGCAAAUCGAUCGUCAAAUUUGGGUAUAGGGGCGAAAGACUAAUCGAACCAUC